UUUUUUUUAAAUUUAUUUACCGAUUAAGUGCACGUGUCCGCGGCAUUUUUUUUAAAUUUAUUUAUCGAUUAGCACGUGUCCGCGCCAUUUUUUUAAUUUACCGAUUUAGUGCACGUGUCCGCGCGAUUUUUUAAAUUUAUUUACCGAUUAAGUGCACGUGUCCGCGCCAUUUUUUUUAAAUUUAUUUAUCGAUUAGCACGUGUCCGCGCCAUUUUUUUAAUUUACCGAUUUAGUGCACGUGUCCGCGCGAUUUUUUAAAUUUAUUUACCGAUUAAGUGCACGUGUCCGCGCCAUUUUUUUUAAAUUUAUUUAUCGAUUAGCACGUGUCCGCGCCAUUUUUUUAAUUUACCGAUUUAGUGCACGUGUCCGCGCGAUUUUUUAAAUUUAUUUACCGAUUAAGUGCACGUGUCCGCGCCAUUUUUUUUAAAUUUAUUUAUCGAUUAGCACGUGUCCGCGCCAUUUUUUUAAUUUACCGAUUUAGUGCACGUGUCCGCGCGAUUUUUUAAAUUUAUUUACCGAUUAAGUGCACGUGUCCGCGCCAUUUUUUUUAAAUUUAUUUAUCGAUUAGCACGUGUCCGCGCCAUUUUUUUAAUUUACCGAUUUAGUGCACGUGUCCGCGCGAUUUUUUAAAUUUAUUUACCGAUUAAGUGCACGUGUCCGCGCCAUUUUUUUUAAAUUUAUUUAUCGAUUAGCACGUGUCCGCGCCAUUUUUUUAAUUUACCGAUUUAGUGCACGUGUCCGCGCGAUUUUUUAAAUUUAUUUACCGAUUAAGUGCACGUGUCCGCGCCAUUUUUUUUAAAUUUAUUUACCGAUUAACACGUGUCCGCGCCAUUUUUUUAAUUUACCGAUUUAGUGCACGUGUCCGCGCGAUUUUUUAAAUUUAUUUACCGUUCAAGUGCACGUGUCCGCGCCAUUUUUUUUUAAAUUUAUUUACCGAUUAAGUGCACGUGUCCGCGCGAUUUUUUAAAUUUAUUUACCGAUUAAGUGCACGUGUCCGCGGCAUUUUUUUUAAAUUUAUUUAUCGAUUAGCACGUGUCCGCGCCAUUUUUUUUAUUUACCGAUUUAGUGCACGUGUCCGCGCGAUUUUUUAAAUUUAUUCACCGAUUAAGUGCACGUGUCCGCGCCAUUUUUUUAAAAUUUAUUUACCGAUUAGCACGUGUCCGCGCCAUUUUUUUUAUUUACCGAUUUAGUGCACGUGUCCGCGCGAUUUUUUAAAUUUAUUUACCGUUCAAGUGCACGUGUCCGCGCCAUUUUUUUUUAAAUUUAUUUACCGAUUAAGUGCACGUGUCCGCGCGAUUUUUUAAAUUUAUUUACCGAUUAAGUGCACGUGUCCGCGGCAUUUUUUUUAAAUUUAUUUAUCGAUUAGCACGUGUCCGCGCCAUUUUUUUUAUUUACCGAUUUAGUGCACGUGUCCGCGCGAUUUUUUAAAUUUAUUCACCGAUUAAGUGCACGUGUCCGCGCCAUUUUUUUAAAAUUUAUUUACCGAUUAGCACGUGUCCGCGCCAUUUUUUUAAUUUACCGAUUUAGUGCACGUGUCCGCGCGAUUUUUUAAAUGUAUUUACCGUUCAAGUGCACGUGUCCGCGCCAUUUUUUUUAUUUACCGAUUUAGUGCACGUGUCCGCGCGAUUUUUUAAAUUUAUUUACCGUUUAAGUGCACGUGUCCGUGCCAUUUUUUUAUUUACCGAUUUAGUGCACGUGUCCGCGCGAUUUUUUAAAUUUAUUUACCGAUUAAGUGCACGUGUCCGCGCCAUUUUUUUUAAAUUUAUUUAUCGAUUAGCACGUGUCCGCGCCAUUUUUUUAAUUUACCGAUUUAGUGCACGUGUCCGCGCGAUUUUUUAAAUUUAUUUACCGUUCAAGUGCACGUGUCCGCGCCAUUUUUUUUUAAAUUUAUUUACCGAUUAAGUGCACGUGUCCGCGGCAUUUUUUUUAAAUUUAUUUAUCGAUUAGCACGUGUCCGCGCCAUUUUUUUUAUUUACCGAUUUAGUGCACGUGUCCGCGCGAUUUUUUAAAUUUAUUUACCGUUCAAGUGCACGUGUCCGCGCCAUUUUUUUUUAAAUUUAUUUACCGAUUAAGUGCACGUGUCCGCGCGAUUUUUUAAAUUUAUUUACCGAUUAAGUGCACGUGUCCGCGGCAUUUUUUUUAAAUUUAUUUAUCGAUUAGCACGUGUCCGCGCCAUUUUUUUUAUUUACCGAUUUAGUGCACGUGUCCGCGCGAUUUUUUAAAUUUAUUCACCGAUUAAGUGCACGUGUCCGCGCCAUUUUUUUAAAAUU